rnacentral:rRNA from 1 species
GACGAACGCUGGCGGCGUGCUUAACACAUGCAAGUCGUGCGGUAAGGCCCUUUCGGGGGUACGCGAGCGGCGAACGGGUGUGUAACACGUGUGCAACCUGCCCUGCACUUGGGGAUAACUGCCCGAAACGGUGGCUAAUACCGGAUAUGACUUCCUCACGCAUGUGGGGUGGUGGAAAGCCUUCGGGUGGUGGGGGAUGGGCUGGCGGGCUAUCAGCUUUUUGGGGGGGUGGGGGUCUACCAAGGCUUCGACGGGUAGGCGGCCUGAGAGGGUGACCGGCCACCAUGGGCCUGAGAGACGGACCAGACUCCUACGGGAGGCAGCGGUGGGGAAUAUUGGCCAAUGGGCGAAAGCCUGAUCCAGCAACGCCGCGUGAGGGAUGACGGCCUUCGGGUUGUAAACCUCUUUCGCCUGAGACGAAGCGAGAGUGACGGUAGCAGGUAAAGAAGCACCGGCCAACUACGUG